AAGACGGUGGGUGGGAAGCACCAAAUUGUUGGACUGCCUCCAUUACUGUAGGGGGAGUAGUCCUUUGUACUUCAGCAAGCCUUUUAUCUUGUCCUUCAGCAGGUGGAUCAGUGGAUUUCUCCCUCAUGCCUCUCUUUAUUUUUUUUGACUUCUUCUCAACUCCGCUCUUUAAUCUCUUCUCUCUUGAUCGCUGCUUUGUGGUG
rnacentral:lncRNA from 1 species